CUGGCUCAGAACGAACGCUGGCGGCAUGCCUAACACAUGCAAGUCGAACGAAGGCUUCGGCCUUAGUGGCGCACGGGUGAGUAACGCGUGGGAAACUGCCCAUUGGUGGGGAAUAACAGAGGGAAACUUCUGCUAAUACCGCAUACGCCCUUCAGGGGAAAGAUUUAUCGCCGAUGGAUGUGCCCGCGUCUGAUUAGGUAGUUGGUGAGGUAACGGCUCACCAAGCCGACGAUCAGUAGCUGGUCUGAGAGGAUGAUCAGCCACACUGGGACUGAGACACGGCCCAGACUCCUACGGGAGGCAGCAGUGGGGAAUAUUGGACAAUGGGCGCAAGCCUGAUCCCAGCAAUGCCGCGUGAGUGAUGAAGGCCUUAGGGUUGUAAAGCUCUUUCGGGUGGGACGAUGAUGACGGUACCACCAGAAGAAGCCCCGGCUAACUUCGUGCCAGCAGCCGC
rnacentral:rRNA from 1 species